rnacentral:lncRNA from 1 species
GAGCGAUUAUUGCAUAAAUCUCCAGACGUAGAAAUGGAGUUUUUGAAGGUUGAUUGCAUAUUCCUAGCUGCAGCCCUAGGACCCCGAACCACUGAAUGAAAAUAUUGCAGAAGAAUGCUUUAAAACGGAAGCACUGUGGAGCAUUUCUCAGGCUGGCUUUGUACUCUACUUUCCAAAUGAAGAAAAUAAUUAGUCCUUUUGCCCUAUUUAAACACUUAGCCAUUGUGUCUUGGAGCUCAGCCAAAAAUAAUCACCUGAAAUUUUGUUUAUGAUUUGUUCACAAAAGUAGCCAUACUUUUUAAAGGAGAGCAAAAAGGAACAUUUUAAGAAUGUGUGAGCUCAUUAUGAACCCAAUAUAUUUUAAAAACAUUCAACUUGUAAACUCCUGAAAUGCGGUUUAUAAUGGAAACACCAGCAGAGUUUCCUGGAGUGGGUCUGAGUCUACCAACUUCUAAGCCUUUUGCAGACCUGGUUUCUCUUGAAGGGAGAAAAUUAAUCAUGGCCUCUGGGGUAACUGGU